AAGCGCUUGCAGCCAGACUUGCCUGUAGUUGCUCAUCCGGGCUUUUGCCCGGUGCACUCUUCUGUAGGCAGGCCAGCAUCAGUUUGGGCGGUUGGAUAAAGGUCUCUGUCACGUACCUCCUCUCGGGGAGUGUUAUAGCCUAGGGUGCAAUGCAGCCUGCUGGGACCGAGGACCGCGCUUCGGCUAGGAUGCUGGCGUAAUGGUUGUAAGCGG
rnacentral:rRNA from 1 species